rnacentral:rRNA from 1 species
UACGUAGGGUGCGAGCGUUUGUCCGGAAUUACUGGGCGUAAAGAGCUCGUAGGUGGUUUGUCGCGUUGUUCGUGAAAACUCACAGCUCAACUGUGGGCGUGCGGGCGAUACGGGCAGACUGGAGUACUGCAGGGGAGACUGGAAUUCCUGGUGUAGCGGUGGAAUGCGCAGAUAUCAGGAGGAACACCGGUGGCGAAGGCAGCUCGCUGGGACGGUACUGACGCUGGAGGCGACGAAAGCGUGGGGAGCAAACAGG